GACGAACGCUGGCGGCGUGCUUAACACAUGCAAGUCGAGCGAUGAAGCACCUUCGGGUGUGGAUUAGCGGCGAACGGGUGAGGAACACGUGAAGAAUCUGCCUUCAACUCUGGGAUAACUCCGGGAAACCGGGGCUAAUACCGGAUAUGAGCCUUGGCCGCAUGGCCGGGGCUGGACAGUUUUUCGGUUGAAGAUGACUUCGCGGCCUAUCAGCCUGUUGGUGAGGUAAUGGCUCACCAAGGCGACGACGGGUAGCCGGCCUGAGAGGGCGACCGGCCACACUGGGACUGAGACACGGCCCAGACUCCUACGGGAGGCAGCAGUGGGGAAUAUUGGGCAAUGGAGGAAACUCUGACCCAGCGACGCCGCGUGAGGGAUGAAGGCCUUCGGGUUGUAAACCUCUUCAGUAGGGAAGAAGCGAAAGUGACGGUACCUACAGAAGAAGCACCGGCUAACUAUGUGCCAGCCGCCGCGGUAAGAC
rnacentral:rRNA from 1 species